rnacentral:rRNA from 1 species
CGGCGAAAGCCGGAUUAAUACCGCAUACGAUCUACGGAUGAAAGCGGGGGACCUUCGGGCCUCGCGCUAUAGGGUUGGCCGAUGGCUGAUUAGCUAGUUGGUGGGGUAAAGGCCUACCAAGGCGACGAUCAGUAGCUGGUCUGAGAGGACGACCAGCCACACUGGGACUGAGACACGGCCCAGACUCCUACGGGAAGCAGCAGUGGGGAAUUUUGGACAAUGGGCGAAAGCCUGAUCCAGCAAUGCCGCGUGUGUGAAGAAGGCCUUCGGGUUGUAAAGCACUUUUGUCCGGAAAGAAAUCCUUGGUUUAAUAUAGCCGGGGGAUGACGGUACCGGAAGAAUAAGCACC